CGCGUAGGCGGACUUUCAAGUCGGAUGUGAAAUCUCCAGGCUUAACUUGGAGCUUGCAUCCGAUACUGUUGGUCUUGAGUAUAUCAGAGGAAAGCGGAAUUCCAGGUGUAGCGGUGAAAUGCGUAGAUAUCUGGAAGAACACCAGUAGCGAAGGCGGCUUUCUGGGGUAUAACUGACGCUGAAGCGCGAAGGCUAGGGGAGCAAACA
rnacentral:rRNA from 1 species